rnacentral:rRNA from 1 species
GAAAGGGCGGGGAGAGGAGCCGAGGGAAGACGGAGGGGGAAAGAGGGAGCCUGAGUCACUGGGUUGAAAGGGUGCGUAGGUGGGCAGGUAAGUCAGGGGUGAAAUCUCCGGGCUUAACCCGGAAACUGCCGUUGAUACUAUCUGUCUUGAAUAUCCUGGAGGUGAACGGAAUAUGUCAUGUAGCGGUGAAAUGCUUAGAUAUGACAUAGAACACCAAUUGCGAAGGCAGUUCACGACGGGAUCAUUGACACUGAGGCACGAAAGCGUGGGGAUCAAACAGGAUUAGAUACCCGGGUAGUC